GCAGUAGCCGCGGGAAUACGUAGGUGGCAAGCGUUGUCCGGAAUUAUUGGGCGUAAAGGGCUCGCAGGCGGUUUCUUAAGUCUGAUGUGAAAGCCCCCGGCUCAACCGGGGAGGGUCAUUGGAAACUGGGAAACUUGAGUGCAGAAGAGGAGAGUGGAAUUCCACGUGUAGCGGUGAAAUGCGUAGAGAUGUGGAGGAACACCAGUGGCGAAGGCGACUCUCUGGUUUGUAACUGACGCUGAGGAGCGAAAGCGUGGGGAGCGAACAGGAUUAGAUACCCGGGUAGUCCCUGUCUCUUAUAC
rnacentral:rRNA from 1 species